rnacentral:rRNA from 1 species
CCUACGGGGUGCAGCAGUGGGGAAUAUUGCACAAUGGGGGAAACCCUGAUGCAGCAACGCCGCGUGGGUGAAGGAGCGUUUCGGCGCGUAAAGCCCUGUCAGCGGGGAAGAAGAAAGACGGUACCCGACCAAGAAGCCCCUGCUAACUACGUGCCAGCAGCCGCGGUAAUACGUAGGGGGCGAGAGGUAUCUGGAAUUACUGGGGGUAAAGGGACGGUAGACGGCGAGGUAAGCCUGAAGUGGAAUCCAGCGGCCCAACCGCGGAACUGCUUUGGGAACUGUUUGGCUGGAGUAUGGGAGGGGUAAGCGGAAGUCCUGGUGUAGCGGUGAAAUGCGUAGAUAUCAGGAGGAACACCGGUGGCGAAGGCGGCUUACUGGACCAUAACUGACGUUGAGGCUCGAAAGCGUGGGGAGCGAACAGGAUUAGAUACCCGUGUAGUC